AAGCAAAAGUCGGCUACAAGCCUUCCUGACUCGGCUUGACCCAGCUUGAAACGGCUAGUGCUAAGUUAAGCUCCAAAUUAGACGUCUUCUGUAUAGCUUAUAUGUCUAGUCUUGAAGACUUCUGCUGUAAGACCUGGUGGAGACGUACAGGCUCUGGUACACGUUUUUAAAGUCAAUCUCCAAGUCUUGCAAGCAAAACUUGCGCACAUUUUUACUACCAGCUUGCAACGAUUCCUUCGACAGCACCAUCAGUGGAAUGAUUACAUCGUUAUGGUAUCGUCAUAUAACAGCUCUCCGCACAAAACAGUGUAUUACCAGCGUACUGCAAGGUUUAUGCUCGAGUCGAUUUCGCAUAGGCCGCUAGUUAGACGGUUACAGCGCGCGUACCAAGUAUCAGCCAUUGAGGAAGGUACCUUCCUCCAUGGCCAAUUCAAACCUACCGCGUCAGCUCAAACUGAAAGCCGCGCCAUAGUUUCGUGUGCCCGUGAUGGCAAUACAACAAAACCUUUCAAUAAAAUGUGUGCCGUUAUUACACAAUUCGUAAAAGCUUUAAUAAAACAUUUUGAACGAAGUUUCACAGGCUAGUAUAACAUGGUGCGGCACAACAGUUGGUGCGCUACUAUGGCUUGGCCGCUUCCAACGCUAGCUCCCGCGCCUGCCAUGCUGCCGUUGCCGUGCAUUGUCUCCGUUCGCGCUUGCAGUGUCGCGCAUGGCCGCGCGCCCGCACUUUGCAAAGGAUUCAACGGGUCGCUUUCGUGCGUACAUCGCAUUCUCUGUGUGUUCCUGCGUUGAUGGCUCAGCUUCGUUUUGGUGCUUUCAGACAUUCACGUACUAAUCACAGACAUGGGAAGACUAUAAGACGUCAAGAUGAAAGGCUCCUAGCAGCUCUCAGUGUUCCCAACGAAACUGGCAGAAUGGCAGUGGCUGAUUACAAGCUGCCUUUGGUGAACAAAAAAAACGUGACCACAUUAGAAUCCGAGCAGAGCUCCAAUCCUGCAUUCUGAUGACACCUUACACAACGGCUCUCUGUUAUGGGGGCUGGUACUUAAGAAGCUUUACUGCGGGCAUCCUACCCACUAUUUUCAGACUGUUUUGGUGGAAACUUAAGCUAGACUCUAGGCCAGCGGCGGAAAAAGAGCUUCAGGGACGUGCAUGUCUACAGUGUCAUGGAAGGUAAGAUUAGAGGGCUGCUGUUUGACUGGGCCUAGAGAUAAAGUGCAGUGACUCUUACUCACAAAAUACAUGCUAUUUUGAAUGAAAAAAAUAAAUAAAAACAUGAACACAUUUGAAAAAAAAAUAUCCAUCCAGUGUAGCUAAGUCGGGUGGACAUCUUUUUCUUUUAUAAGCCUUCCUCCCCCUUGCAGUUCCAUAGAACUGAUGUUCCACAAAUUUUAUUUACGAGUUGCAAAUCUGUUCGUAUGUAGCAAUGGUUCGGAUAUCAGCCACAACUGCUGAUACCGUGUACACGUGCUACUUGCACUGUUUGACUAGAUGGUUUGGUAUUCCAGAAGCUAUUCAUAGCAAUACCACGUGGGAAAAUGUGAUGACCGAUGCCAUUCGCCAAGCAGCAACUGCCUGGUUGAAGAAUUGCAGUUUGCGAGCGGAUAAAAAGCCAGCACGUUACGUUAAGCUUAGUGUUCAGGUAAUUUUAUAUAGAAAUUUAAGAUAUACUUACGUUUUUAACUGAGUCAGCAUCAUGUAGCAUGUUUACAUCUCAUUAAAAUCGACUGUUGGUUCUAGAUCAGAAGUGCAUGGUAUGGGAUUAACAUUUUGUCUUGGCGUUCUAAACUCUACUUAUAUCAGUCUGUUCUCAAUCGCCAGAUAACUUCCAACGACCAUCUAUGCAUGAUGUUGUGACAUCAUGCUUUACUGUGGCCAUAGGGAAACUUGUAUACAUUCUGAAGAAUUUUACUUUAGACAAUAAAUUCUGGGAACCCCAAGUAGAGUUGGCGUUCAGGGCCACUUGCUUACAUGAUGCAGUGUAAAAGAAAGAUAUAAAUAUUUACUUCCAGGCAGCAAAAGGACAUGGGAGAUGCUUUAGGUGAACGUGAAAAGGCAUUUUAAAUUAUAGAAUGAAUUAUACCUGUCUUCUGGCACUAUGCUUAUGCCUGCAGAUUUUAAGCAGUUUUUUAUGUGUUGUAUUUGUUUCUUUUAUGCCAUUGUUCAGUCUUGUGGGGACAGCCACUGAAAGGCCAGGCUUAAAACAAGUAUAACUAUGCAUCAUGAGUGCAUCAGUUCUAUAAUGUUUGAAAGUGGUGUGCGCAUUACAUGCCCUUAACAGUAGUCACCGAGAGAAAACAAAGUGUAUUCGCUAAUUUUUCUAAUAUGUAGAGAUUAUUUCUUAGUCAUGUUUAUGCUAAGCAUUUGGCUUUUACUGGCCUUACUAUAAGUGAGUCUGGUCUUUUUUCCCUUUUUUCGACUGGCGCAGAUGCAUCAAAGGAUACUG